rnacentral:misc_RNA from 1 species
UACGUAGGGGGCAAGCGUUGUCCGGAAUUAUUGGGCGUAAAGAGCACGUAGGCGGUUAGGUAAGUUGGAUGUGAAAGGCUACGGCUCAACCGUAGAGCGGCAUCCAAAACUGUUUAACUUGAGUGCAGCAGAGGAGAGUGGAAUUCCCGGUGUAGCGGUGGAAUGCGUAGAGAUCGGGAGGAACACCAGUGGCGAAGGCGACUCUCUGGGCUGCAACUGACGCUGAGGUGCGAAAGCGUGGGGAGCGAACAGG